GCUAACACCAGUCCUUACACGACGGGGCGGCACGCUGGAGCUUCGUUUGAUUGCAGGAAUCUAUCUCAAGCCCAUAACUUGUGCCUCCGCUCGCAUGAUGAAGGGUUAGGGCUUUGAUUUUCACUCCCUUCCAUUCCAAAGCCGUGCAAAAUUAAUUCCAGUCCUGUUAGGGUUAGGGUUUAACGAUUUCAUAGACAUGUAUGCUGAUCGAGUGGAAGCUGCGGCGAAGAGGUCGGUAAAGGAGCGUCUUAAUGGCAAUUCUACUGACGACUUUACUCGCCAGCGUCAAAUUACUGGCAAAAGGCAGAGGCAAGAUGAUAAGUGGGAACACGAUCUCUAUGACGAGGAUGAACCACAUGUUUCAAGUAUGAAUUGACUGUGACAUACAGGCAACUAAAAAUUGCUGCUAUUGUUGGAUGCAACUCAAAUAACUAUACUUGGUUUUUGACUUUUUGUUAAUGGCUUGUGAAGAUCGCAAAGUCAGUUCUCAAGAUCUUCGACUGAAGCUUCAAAAGAAGACUCUUCCACAAUCAUCACAAAUUGGAAAGGGGUCAGGCAUGCGGGAUUUACGUGAAAAGCUAUCUGGGACUAUGAAUUCACAACCAGCAAAUGCUGAUCCACCCAAACGAAAAUUGGAGACUGCUAAACCAGCUAUAAGAAGUGUUGCAGUUGACGCACCUGAGCCAGAGAUUAAAAAGGUUUCUAGUGUGGCUCCUAGAAAAAAGUCUCAGCAAAAGGCUGAUACUUCAAUAGAAGGUUUUCUGCAAUCAAUAGGCCUUGAGAAAUACCUCAUUACUUUUCAAGCUGAGGAAGUAAGUAAAUUUUGUGCUGUAAUAUGUUAUUUGUUGACUCUAUUCAUCAUCUUCAGGGGCUUUUCUUUUAUUUUACUCAACGCAGGUUGAUAUGACAGCUCUUGUACACAUGAAUGAUGAGGAUCUCAAGGCUAUAGGAAUACCAAUGGUGAACUUAAACUGCCCUUUCAGACAUGGAAUGCUUGUCUUUUGUGGUGCAUUUUCAUCUAGGCUAAACUCAUUUCCAAGCCGCUCAACUUUUCAAGUUUGUGUUAUUCGACAUUAAGAAAAAUAUUUUUUAAAAAAUUCCCCAUGUAUUUUCAGAAAAAUUACAAAAAACAAAAGAAAGAAAAAACUAUUGGGAAGGAACAGAACCACAAAGAAGCAUGGGACCAUAUUUCCAAAAGCAAACCAAAUCAAGCAACAGAUGAAAAACAAAUCAAAACAAUUCAAAUUUCAGCCCUAAACAAGAACAUAACCAUAGACAUACCACAUCAAACCCUUGAACAAGUGAAACUCCUUUAACACAAACAAAAUAUCCCAUCUCAAACUCCAAUCUCAAUCUUUUUAUGCACUUUAACCCAUGAUUCAAUCACCUUUAAUGGAUAUCAUGCCAUCUAGCCUGCAAUUCCUAUGAGAUCCCAAAUUGCAAAGCAAGGUUUUCCUCUGAAUCUGAAAUGGAUUGGGAAAUUUUGUUUUGAGCAGGAAAAAAAAAAAAAACUAUUGUUUUCCUUUCUUUUUUAUUCUUUUCUUUUUUUAAAAAAAAAAAUAAUGAUCUUUAGAAAAAAAUCUCUCCUACCUUAUUAACAUGCCAUUAAGCGGUGCUUGUUCUCCACAUUUUUAACUCCAGUAAAAAAUGUAUGUGUUCAAAAAUAAAAGUCUAGGGUUUUAAUCAGAAACUAUUCACCAAGGGCUUAAUAACAUAAACUUAAAAAGUUGCAGGGCUUGGAUAUGGGUUUAACCUUUCAUCUAUUGAUGUGUUUGUGUUCUUUAUAUUGAUGAUGAAGAACUAGGGACCUUCCUUUCUUGAUAUGCACAAAAGAAAUGUGAAAGGCCAAACUAUACUCUAAAGGAUCUCUAACCCCCCAAAAUCUGUGUCAAUAUUAGAAGUCCAACACUAAUUAGACUUAUCAUAUCAUUAUUAGAAUAACUAUUGAGUUUUAGGUGGGUCAUAACUCUUGAACAUAGUUGUGUAUGCCAAAAGCCAUACAAUCCUUAUCCAUCUUUCAUGUUGUAACAUGUUGUAAAUUUAAUACGCAAAAAUUAUUCCACGAUGUCACAAUAAAAUUGUUAAUUGAGAAAAUAUUUCAAUUAGCUUAUUUGUAAUUAUCUUUGAAUAGCAAAUGAAGAGGAAAAAUAGUCUCUUAAAGAAGAAAUCUUCGACCUACUUUUAAUUCCUUAGUUCCUACGGUAUGAGAUAGAAUAAAUUUUCAACCUCUUGUAUAUACUCAAUAUGAUGGGGGAAGUAGAUUUUGAAUUCCUUACUCCCUACAGUAUGAGAUGGGCAUCCAACCAUUGGGUUACUAGCUCAAUUUUUUUGUU
rnacentral:misc_RNA from 1 species